GGAGUAGAGCAGCCGCAGCCUAGGAGUGGCCCAGCAAGCAGGGGCUCCAAUCCUUCAGGAAUGGUGGAAACCAGAGUAACUGGAAUCCGGGUCAAGCUUUUCCCUGAUGGGGAGAAAUCACUUAAGAAGCCAGUAAUUGUAAACCCCUCACCAAGUAGAUGUAGUGGAUAAUGUUGUGGACACCAUCUUGCUCCACCCAGUCCCUUCUGGAAGGCCAAAUACUCCAUCCUUUGAUCAGGAAUCACUACCUGCCAUGUGCAGUUGCCUUCAGUGGCAGGACACUGUCAUGCACAAGACAGCCCAGGCCAGUGACUGUCUGUGGUGGGAUCUAAAGGCCCGCUCCCCGUGUUUCAACUGGAAGAAUUCUAGCCUCCCUCUCCCAGGAUCACCUGAGCACUCAGUAGGACCUACACUGUGGGUCGCCUUCUCCAUCUGCUUAGUUCUGCCUUCUUUACCUCCUUCCUACUGCGUCUCCUGAGAGCACAUCCUGAAAACCCUUCUGUCCAGAAUUCUCUGGUUGCAGAACCUAUUCCAGAGACCAGUGUAAGACACGGGGUGCCACGUAAGAAAAGUGGAGGGGAAGCAGACAGGAACAAUGGAGGGUUCUUUCAAGAAGCCAAGAAACAUGGUGGUAGCUGAAAGAAGCAGCUGGAAGCCUGGGAACUUCAUUGUCUAGAAGUUCUACCAGGAGUUUCCACUUUAGGUUCCAUGAACCAAAAACACCUGCUUGAGUCUUGGAGGCAAGAAAAGCAGCAGAGGCCACAUUACUGCUCCUCCGGCAUCCGUGGGCAUACGUCCAGGCAUCGGCAGUGAUCCUACCCGGGCCUCUGGGCAUUUUCCUAUCUCACCUUGCACAGCGUGGCCCCGCCCGGGGGUUUCACAGCAUCCUCAGCAUCACCUGGGGACUUGCAACAAUGCCAGUUCUUGGACCACUCUCCAGCCUUACGCAUUCAGAAGCUGCGGAGGAGAAAAGGUGCUGACACUUUGACUGGGAUCUCAAGGAAUAAAACCCUAAUUGACUGACCAGAGUGGAACCAAUAAAGAAGAGAUAUCCCGGCUGAUGUGGGCAGACUUCAUCUAAACAGCUGGAAGGCCUUAAGAACAAAAACAGGUCUUGCAGAAGGAAAAGAAAUUCUACCUCAAGACUGCAGCAUCAGUUCCUGUCCAAGCCUGCACCUGCCAGCCCCCAUGGUCCUAGAAGUCAAUUCCUUGGAAGGGACAUGAAGUGACUGUAGAAUUGAGUAAGAGGGAGAGGCUAGAAGAAUCUUGACUUACUCAACAGAAAAAGCCCAGAUUGCUCUGAAAAGAUGGUCAGUUAGAAACACAGACAUAGAAGUAAAAUAUAAGAGGAAUGAGAGAGAAACUGACAAAGGAGCCAUUAAGCCAAGAGGAACCAGAGAAGGCCAUGUGACACAAGAACACCAAGGAUUUCUGACCACAACCAGAAGCAGGAAGAAGCAAGAGAGGAUUCUUCCCUAGAGCCUUCAGAAAAGGACAGUCCUGCUGACAUGUUGUU